rnacentral:rRNA from 1 species
CCUACGGGAGGCAGCAGUAAGGAAUAUUGGUCAAUGGACGAAAGUCUGAACCAGCCAUGCCGCGUGCAGGAUGACUGCCCUAUGGGUUGUAAACUGCUUUUAUAUAGGAAGAAAAACUUUCUCGUGAGAAAGCUUGACGGUACUAUAAGAAUAAGGAUCGGCUAACUCCGUGCCAGCAGCCGCGGUAAUACGGAGGAUCCAAGCGUUAUCCGGAAUCAUUGGGUUUAAAGGGUCCGUAGGUGGGCAAAUAAGUCAGAGGUGAAAUCCUGCAGCUCAACUGUAGAACUGCCUUUGAUACUGUUUGUCUUGAGUUAUUAUGAAGUGGUUAGAAUGUGUAGUGUAGCGGUGAAAUGCAUAGAUAUUACACAGAAUACCGAUUGCGAAGGCAGAUCACUAAUAAUCAACUGACACUGAUGGACGAAAGCGUGGGUAGCGAACAGGAUUAGAUACCCUGGUAGUCCACGCCGUAAACGAUGGUCACUAGCUGUUUGGACUUCGGUCUGAGUGGCUAAGCGAAAGUGAUAAGUGACCCACCUGGGGAGUACGUUCGCAAGAAUGAAACUCAAAGGAAUUGACG